UAGGGAAUAUUAGUAAUGGGCGAAAGCCUGAACUAGCAACGCCGCGUGUGCGAAGAAGGCCUUCGGGUUGUAAAGCACUUUUAGAGAGGAUGAGGAAGGACGGUACUCUCAGAAUAAGUCUCGGCUAACUACGUGCCAGCAGCCGCGGUAACACGUAGGAGGCGAACGUUAUCCGGAUUUACUGGGCGUAAAGCGCGUGUAGGUGGUUUGGUAAGUAGGGCGUGAAAGCUCCCGGCUCAACUGGGAGAGGCCGUUCUAAACUGCCAAGCUAGAGGAUGGUAGAGGGAGGUGGAAUUCCGGGUGUAGCGGUGGAAUGCGCAGAUAUCCGGAGGAACACCAGUGGCGAAGGCGGCCUCCUGGGCCACUCCUGACACUCAGACGCGAAAGCUAGGGUAGCAAACGGGA
rnacentral:rRNA from 1 species